rnacentral:rRNA from 1 species
AUUGAACGCUGGCGGCAUGCCUUACACAUGCAAGUCGAACGGUAACAGGUCUUCGGAUGCUGACGAGUGGCGAACGGGUGAGUAAUACAUCGGAACGUGCCUAGUAGUGGGGGAUAACUACUCGAAAGAGUGGCUAAUACCGCAUGAGAUCUACGGAUGAAAGCAGGGGAUCGCAAGACCUUGUGCUACUAGAGCGGCCGAUGGCAGAUUAGGUAGUUGGUGGAAUAAAAGCUUACCAAGCCGACGAUCUGUAGCUGGUCUGAGAGGACGAUCAGCCACACUGGGAAGGAGAAACGGCCCAGACUCCGACGGGAGGCAGCAGUGGGGAAGUUGGGACAAUGGGCGCAAGCCUGAUCCAGCAAUGCCGCGUGCAGGAUGAAGGCCUUCGGGUUGUAAACUGCUUUUGUACGGAACGAAAAGCCCCGGGUUAAUACCCUGGGGUCAUGACGGUACCGUAAGAAUAAGCACCGGCUAACUACGUGCCAGCAGCCGCCGUAA